GUGCCAGCCUCCGCGGUAAGACGUAGGGCGCGAGCGUUGUCCGGAUUUAUUGGGCGUAAAGAGCGUGUAGGCGGCCAGACAAGUCUGCUGUGAAAACUCGAGGCUCAACCUCGAGACGCCGAUGGAAACCAUCUGACUAGAGUCCGGAAGAGGAGAGUGGAAUUCCUGGUGUAGCGGUGAAAUGCGCAGAUAUCAGGAGGAACACCGGUGGCGAAGGCGGUUCUCUGGGCCUGACCUGACGCUGAGGAGCGAAAGCGUGGGGAGCGAACAGGAUUAGAUACCCCAGUAGUCC
rnacentral:rRNA from 1 species